CUAUGGCCCCUGGGAUGUAUUGCCUGCUCUCCUGUAUGGCGGAGGAUUGCUACCAACUAGGUGGAUUUGACUAUGGAGCUUGUGUAGUGCCCUCUGUUGGUAGCAACAGUAAUAUGCACUACCUGAAUAGCAAGACUGGUAAUUUGCAUAUUCGGAUAAACAUAGAAACAUAGAAACAUAGAAUGUGACGGCAGAUAAGAAC